GCUGCGAUGGCAGGCUGCCGGUCGCUGGUAACGGAACACAUCGGAGUUGGGUCUCGAGACAGCAAUUAAAAGACAAAAAGAGCCUGAUUUUAAAUGGUAGCAAGGCUGGAGAGCUUGUGAGACAGGCUGCCUUUCGCACUAUAUUAUAGCUGGCAGGGGCGCAUCUGAUUGGCCAAGCCGCACAAGCUUGUCUUCUGAUGUUAACCCUGAGAAAGACUACAUUUCUCCCCCCUCUGGCUGCUGUGGCUUUAUUUUCACCUGAAGGCUUCCAGUUUAAAAAAGAAAGAAAGAGAGAAAGAAAGAAAGAAAGAAAGAAAGAAAGAAAGAAAGAAAGUCUUUACUAAGUGUUCUACACACCAUUAUAUACCACAGUCAUGCCUGAAACACACAGAAUGCACUGAUGCCCAGCACGUCUUCCUCUUCUCAUCUAAAUAAACAUGGUCCUCCUUGGCUGAGUUCUUCCAUCUCUGCCUUAGGCUGUGCACAGCUAUGAGUUCCCUCAAGGACUUUGUCCAUAGGGAUGCCAACAAGAGGGGGUCAGGAAGAUGGAAAGCGUGCUCCACCUCCAAUCUAUGUUCAUGCUUCUUCCAGCUGGAUUCUUAAGAAGGACUUGACAUGUUUGUUGGGGUCCCAACAUCAGGCCCCAUUCUGUUGCUGAUACAAGACAGAGCGACUGAAAAGACCAAGUGAGCUGUGGUGCUCAGGCAAGAACCUUGCAAUGUGGAGAUCCUGUGAGCUCAGAAAGUGCUACAGCAGCCCCAAGUGAGGUGAACUACAGAAAAGUAACCUGUGCAUUAUCAGCAGCAUCUAAGAUUCUGCUGACUGCUUCUCCAUACAACUUUGGAUGGUAAAGAAGAGGCUUCAAGGUGAUCUUGUCCAGAGCUUUGGCAUCCUCUUGGAAACUUUAAGACAAAGCCUGAGCCUUAAAGGAUUUCUGUUAAACUCUUCCAAGGUACCUGGAGAGGGGAACACUGUCUGAAGUGGCUCCCUGUCUGAACCUUGGCUCUUUGCACCCCACUUGGUCUCCUUUACCACACAGGGCUCUACUUUUCUGCAGUUCCUACAGAAUUCUAUUUCUGUCUAGUUCCUCUGCAGGAUUCUGUCCUCAGAAGGACCAGCCAAUCAGAGUUGCACCCUUGGAAGCAGGAACUACCCCUGUAAGUCUCUGGGUUUCCAAAGAUGAGCACACAGCAUAUCACAUAUUUUCGAUGGAAGAAAUGGCUGAACCAGAGAAAAUCAGACUAAGAUGCCACCAUCCCAUGUGAGGGACUCAGCUGAGAGCCUGCAUGCUCAUGAGUCCAAGUAGAGCCUUUUGGAGUGAAGUAGGGGAAUCUUGUCAGUAUGGUGUCUAUACCCACCAGAGGUUCACAGAACAGGGUGCUCUGCCUUCAUAGAGGGGUGUGAUAUCCAUGGAGACACAGUACCUUUAGGAGGGGCACAAUCCCUAUAGGAGAAAUGUUAUCCCCACAGAAUGGACAUUGCUGGACAGAGUACUCAUGAGAACACAGUAGCUCAAGGAGGAGGUCAAUCCACUAUAAAGCUGGCCAACUCACAGUUGGUUGGCUGUGAUCCAUCCCACCAUAGUCUGUUUCUUCUUGCCUGGCCAUUGCUGCUGCUCACCACCCCAGCUCCACUUCUUGGCUCAAGCACAGUAGCAACAGCCACUACAGCCUGCUGCUGCCCAUGGUAAUAAAAGAUUGCAACUCUCCCAAGGGUCCAUGAUAUGGUUGGCCUGCCCUGCCUAGCCUUGUACUUACCAGACCUCUUCAUGCCCUUCAGGGUCUGUUACAUGCUCUCUGCAAUCCACAGAGAUGCCUACACAACUGAGCACAUGUCACUAAGUAUGAGAGACCUACUUUUUGCCCACUAUGUCUACUUCCUGUGUCAUACAUAGUUUCUGCUGCAGUGCUUUCUGCCUCUGUGUGAAAGUAGAUAUCUUGUUCAGUCAAUGAUACAUACACCAAGGUUGAAUGUACAGGACAAGGGCACAGUGGUCAUCAUAAGAGUCAGGAGAUGAUUCAUUCAACCUGAUGAGACCCUUCUCCAGUCAGCUCAUGGUCAGAGGCUAAUCCAUGGGAUGUCCUGUAGCACUGCCUUCCUUCGAAGGAAUCUGUUCUUAUAAGAACCUUCUCUUAUUGUUAGUUUAUUUUGAAUGAACCAUUUAAGGUCCACAUCUAAAAGAUCAGGCACCUAAGUGUUAGAGAAGUUGGAAGCUUAUAGAAAGCCGCAAUACUAAGUUGAUCUCCUCUUCUCUGAGUACUACACAGGAGGAUUCUACAUGCCAGAUGGUCCUUGUAAGAUCCAUCCAUGCCAGCACAGGAGAGAUAUGUUUCUUCUUAUGUCUAGGAUGAACAGCACAUUAACAACUCCCCGGUGGUGACAAUUAGGGGCAAUUUGUGAACUAAAAUUGGCCAGUUGCCUUAUUACUUUGGAGAGCUGCGACACAGUGGGAAGAAGAAGAGACUCAAGUCCUACUGAGCCAUACAUGUUGGAUACUCAUUCUCAGGGAUGGCCACAUGCUGACAUGGCAAGGAUGGAACAGGAAGGGGCUCCUCUUGUGCCGUUAUCAUAUCUGAGGAUGUGGACAUGAAGAAUAUUCAUCAACAUGGAAGAGUGACAAGGGAAUCCCCCACUGGUCCUAGCCCACUGGUCCUCCCCCAAUCUCUCUAAGGCGCACUAUUUGUCUCAGCCUCUGACAAUGAUGCAGCCAUAACCUCUACUGCCGUGAACACACAGCUUCCUCACCUGCCUUCCCCGUGGGCCUCAUUUCUGCAUGAUCUGUGCAACGUCAGAGCAGUCUACUCUGUACCUAUAAUAGCAUCUGCUGCCAUGUAGUUGGGUGACUGUAUCAUUCUUAUUGGGCACAUGGUGGCUCUUAUUUCCAAUACACAAUCUUAUGU
ensembl:antisense